rnacentral:lncRNA from 1 species
UUUUUUUUGCAAUCAAAUCCCUAAUCUUUUGAUUUCGUUUCAAUUAAGUCCCAACAGUUAAAUAACUGUUAAAAUUGACGGAAAAUGCCACGUCAGCGCCAGGGAGGCGCCAUGUCAGCGGAUUGCAAAAAAAAAAAAAGGUUGGGGACCAAAUUGAAAAACGACGCAAAGGUUGAGAACCAAUGGUGUAAUUAAUCCAUUAAAUUUAUAAAUUCAAAAAAAAUUAAUUUAAUAUUUAAAUUUUAAAUUUAAAUUUUGAUUCUG